AGAGGUUAGUCUUUCGACUCUCUUCACUGGCCUCUUUUGGCUGGAUCCGUACAACAAGAUUCAAAUUAAAACUUUUAUUUUGGGCAGAAGAAUAAAGGGACAAGAAAAAAACGAUACUCACAAUUGUCAGAUUAUUGUGAUCUCAAAAUAUUUAAAAUAAAAUUAUUUAUAUAUUGUAUUAUUUUCCGUCACUCUAAAUAUCCGACAGCACGGCAAAGCCCCGUACGUUUACCCAGACUUUCGACCUCAGGUAGGCCAAAGAUGAAGACAUUUCCAAAAUAAACACUUGUGCGUCGUUUCAUAUGUCAAAAUGUGCUUGCGGUUCCCAGUGUUGUCUUUUCCGUGGAAACGGGGUCAAAAUGGCUCCUUAAGUGGAAAAGGUUGCCGGACCCUCGCAUAGACCGUAACC